rnacentral:rRNA from 1 species
GAUGAACGCUGGCGGCGUGCCUAAUACAUGCAAGUCGAGCGAACAGACGCGGAGCUUGCUCCUCUGACGUUAGCGGCGGACGGGUGAGUAACACGUGGAUAACCUACCUAUAAGACUGGGAUAACUUCGGGAAACCGGAGCUAAUACCGGAUAAUAUAUUGAACCGCAUGGUUCAAUAGUGAAAGACGGUUUUGCUGUCACUUAUAGAUGGAUCCGCGCCGCAUUAGCUAGUUGGUAAGGUAACGGCUUACCAAGGCAACGAUGCGUAGCCGACCUGAGAGGGUGAUCGGCCACACUGGAACUGAGACACGGUCCAGACUCCUACGGGAGGCAGCAGUAGGGAAUCUUACGCAAUGGGCGAAAGCCUGACGGAGCAACGCCGCGUGAGUGAUGAAGGUCUUCGGAUCGUAAAACUCUGUUAUUAGGGAAGAACAAAUGUGUAAGUAACUAUGCACGUCUUGACGGUACCUAAUCAGAAAGCCACGGCUAACUACGUG